AAAAAAUGAUUGUGGCUUCAUUAUCCACUCGCUGUCAAUUGUCAUUGUGAUAUACUACAUUUUAAUGUUGAAUUACUACUUCAUUCUUCGAUGUUGGCUGAAUAAACAAGGAAAAACUAUUAUCCUGAAAUAUAUUUCUUGUUUGCUUUCAAAGCUGGAUACAAACCUAUAUGUGAUGAUAUAAUUCAAGUUGGAUCCAUAAAAACAUUGUGCUAACAGUUUUUUGGAUAGACAAAAUGUUAGUUAGUAGUAAUUAAUUAGUUGUUACUCUCUAGCUUAAACCAAUUGAGCUACCCAACUCUCUAUUCAGGUAAGAGUUUUUUGGGGUUCUAUUACAUGUUAAAUUACGGUCAUCAGGGUUGUUCUAUUUACUGUACUAAAAGAAAGUAGCCUUGAUGAACUUGUUAUUUAAAUUACUAAUAAUUAGUUUGGAAGUAUUAAAAGAUGAGUUUGAAAAACAAAAAAGUAUAAAACAUACUUUUGCAAGUGCAAUAGCUCCACAAUUUACGAAAGUAACUAGCCUAAUUUCCCCUAGUGAUGCCAUAAAAGAUCAUUUUUACCACAAAACUUACAGAUGCAAGAUAUUCGUAAUCAAACUCAUUAUGUAGAUUAUAAAGUAAUAAGAGUAACACGAUUUCAUUAUCGCAACACCUCCAAAUUUAUCAUUUCCCUAUUUCUGUAUGUCGGAUGGAAAAGGGGAGUUACUAACGGUGCUACUUUUUAUUGUCAUAAGCAGCUAUGUUCUGGGGCUCACAUUCAGGACUAAACAAACGAACCAGCAAAGCUGUGCUUGAACUUACAGUUACAGCUCCACAGGCUGCCCAACGAAGAC
rnacentral:lncRNA from 1 species